rnacentral:snoRNA from 1 species
AACUUGUGAUAUGGAACUGCACGGACAUAGUCAUUGAAGCGCUCAUAAGCUUCAGCAAUUGUAUCAGUAGGAUACUGAGCAAAAGUAGCUAUCUUGUUUCUCAGAUU